rnacentral:rRNA from 1 species
GACAAACGCUGGCGGCGUGCGUAAAACAUGCAAGUCGCACGGCCCCUUCGGGGGCAGUGGCAGACGGCUGAGUAACGCGUAGGAAUCUACCCUCCAGUGGGGAAUAACGGGCCGAAAGGUCCGCUAAUACCGCAUACGGUCGCGGGUAACCGCGAAGAAAGCCUUACGGUGCUGGAGGAGGAGCCUGCGUCCGAUUAGCUAGUUGGUGGGGUAAAGGCCUACCAAGGCAGUGAUCGGUAGCUGGUCUGAGAGGAUGAUCAGCCAGACUGGGACUGGGACACGGCCCAGACUCCUACGGGAGGCAGCAGUUAGGAAUUUUGGGCAAUGGCCGCAAGGCUGACCCAGCAACGCCGCGUGGGGGACGAAGGCUCUCGGGUCGUAAACCCCUUUUCCCAGGGACGAUGAUGACGGUACCUGGGGAAUAAGCCCCGGCUAACUACGUGCCAGCCGCCGCCGUAACAC